AUGGCUAUCUUCUCACCCAUUCUCAAUUGCUUCAUGCCGUUGUCAAACUCACAGGUCUCAGAUGAUGCAGGAGGGCCUAACGGUGGUGCAAAAGCUCCUUCUUCAAAGGAAUCCAAGAAAAGCAAAUCAAAAUCAUCGUCGUCUUCAUCGAAAGCUCCCAUUAUAGUUUCUUACUUCCCCCAUAAUUCCUAUCGCUCUCGCUUGUGA
rnacentral:lncRNA from 1 species